rnacentral:lncRNA from 1 species
UUCAGUCCAGGGAAAAGGAGGCUGAGGGAGACCUUAUUGCUCCCUCCCAGUACCUGAAAGGUGCUUACAGCAAGAGUGGGGAUUAGUCUCUUCUCACUGCUGACAGGUGACAGGACGAGGGGAAAUGGUCUGAAGUUGUGCCAGACAACUGCAGUGAUUUCACAGACGUGCUCACCCCAGCCAGCAGUGUCUUGAGAAGCUACAGACUCCAUGGCCAAGGAAUGAACCAUCCUAGGAGGCAUGUUUUCCAACCAGCCCCAAGUGUGGCUGACAUACAGCAUCCUCCCUCUUUCCUCCUUGGUGACCUGAAACACAAAACAAAUCCUUUGGCUCCUCAGUUAAUCUGCAGGGACAGAAAAUAUCAUCUUCCCCUUUUAUUUAAGACAGUGUACAGCUCUCUUCUAACCAUGAUAUUAUGGACAUAAUGGAUGACAGACUCUCAUCAGCACCCUCUCCCUAUAAUUAAGCCUGAGAAUAGACAGCCUAUGAAUCCUUAUAAUAAAUUAAGUAGGAGAGGGAGCCCAGAAUUUCUUGGCUCCCUCUUAUCAGUCAGAUGGCAAGAUAGGUUGCUUUAACCAUGGAAGCAUUCUGAGUGCUCUGCAGAGAGGUGGCAGCUUUUCUCCACUUGUUUACUAAACUUGAGCUAACCCGAUCCAGUGAAUCUCCACUUGAGGGGCAGAGGAGCAGUUUAUACACUACUGGUGGAGAUCAUUUCAGCCCUCCAGUUCAUGAGAAUUGAGCAGAAAAUACCAGCCUAAGUUGCAAGAUAUUGUAAAAUUUCUGCAUGAAUUGAGGAUUGCUGCGUCUUUGGAUACAGUCAACAAAUCAUUCAUUUUUUUUUUUUUUUGUCAGCAACAUUGGAACCCACUUGAGGGAGCUGGGAAAUCAAUUGUUCUGAGGCUCAACUCUUCCAAACAAAAUGUAUAAAAAUAGUAUGAUUGUAAGGCUACACCAAUAAGGACUGUUCCAAGAUGAUCUGCCCUCUCUCCUUAAUCAGGACUUGUAAACUUUCCUUAAAAUUACACACUUUGGAGUGAUAAAAAAUCCAUGCAGAAAAAAUCUGCAUGCAUUUUUUUUUUUUAGCAUUCUGUCAUGCUGAAAAAAUGAAAAAUAAUUGGAAAACGAUGACAAGUCCAGAAAAGAGUUAAUAAAAUGGAAUUGUCUGAGAAGCCAACUUCCAAGAGAUUGUUUUUUUAACUAGUACUGAGUUAGUCAGUCCUAGGCUGUCUUUGUGGAAUGGUGAUCAAAGAAAGCUGCUGUUGGCAUCCAAUAAACUCUAUUUUCCUUUUAAGGUCACCACUUCUUUAAAAACAAGCAAACCCAAAGUGUUUUGUGGAUCCUAUGGAAUCAAACUCAGCAACGUUUUAAUGUAUCAGACUUCAUAUGGAGUAUCUGUGGCCUUCUGAGUGGUGGAGUCUUUCCUCUAGUCUCCAGUAGACACUCAGUCUCUAUAUCUUUUUGACAGACUUUCUGUGACUCAGUGAUGGUGAUUUCCUGCUGAGUCAGCCAGGUCUGCUCUUUUGGAAUUGAAGUAGAGCCAAAGUACCUCCUUGACUUCACAGCUGUGUGGGUGGGGUGUAGCUGUGUUGUGCAGAGAAUCCUGUGCACCCUCAGUUUGUAAGCAGGAGAUCAUAUAUUAACAUCUGGUACAACCAUCAACCUAUCACCAGCAUGCAUACUAAACCAUGUCCCUCAGUGCCACAUCUGCACAUUUACUGAACACCUUCAGGGAUGGUGACUCCACCACCUCCCUGGUCAGCCAGUUCCAUUGCAUAGCCACUGUUUCCGAGAAGAAACUUUUCCUACUAUCCAACCUGAUUCACAUGCUUGAGUGAGUGUAAUAGAGGGGCCUGAUUUUGUUGUUUAGGGGUUGGUAGGAGUCAUAGACUCUUCUUAAAGAGCCAAACUCUUUCUUCUUAAAGAUGUAUAGCAAC